AUGUCUAAGGGACCUGCAGUCGGCAUUGAUCUUGGCACCACCUAUGUUUGCGUGGGUGUCUUCCAGCAUGGAAAAGUGGAGAUAAUGACCAACAAUCGGGGAACCCAGCUAUCCCAAGCUAUGUCACCUUCACUGACAAAGAAUGAUUGAUCAGUGAUGCUGCAAAGAAUCAGGUUGCAAUGUGCCCCACCAACACAGUUUUUGAUGCCAAAUGUCUGAUAAGACAGAGAUUUGAUGAUGCUGUUGUCCAGUCUAAUAUGAAGCACUGGUGGUGGAUGAUGCAGGCAGGCCCGAAGUCCAAGUAGAAUACAAGGGUGAGACAAAAAGUUUCUAUCUAGAGGAGGUAUCUUUUAUGGUUGGGACAAAGAUGAGGGAAAUUGAAGAGGACUACCUUUACCACUGGCCUACUGUUACCAUUGCUGUGGUCACAGUGCCAGCUUACUUCAGUGACUCUCAGCAUCAGUCAACCAAAGAUGCUGGAACUAUUGCUGGUCUCAAUGUACUUAGGACAAUUAGCCAACUGCCACUGUUAUUGCUUAUGAUUUAGACAAAAAGGUUGGAGCUGAAAGAAAUGUGCUAAUUUUUAUUUAGGAGGUGGCAUUUUUGAUGUGUCAAUCUUCACUAUUGAGGUCAAAUCCACAGCUGGAGACACCCACUUAGGUGGAGAAGAUUUUGAUAACCGUGUGGUCAAUGUUUAUCUCUGAGUUCAAGCAAAAGCAUAAGAAGGACAUCCCAUCCAUGAAAACAAAAGAGCUGUCCAACAUCUCCAUACUGCAUGUGAAAGAGCUAAGCAUACCCACUCUUCCAGCAAACAGGCUAGUACUGAGAUUGAUUCUCUUUAUGAAGGAAUCAACUUCUAUACCUCCAUUACCUGUGCUUGAUUUGAAGAGUUGAAUCCUGUUCCGUGGCACCCUUGAUCCUGUAGAAACAUCUCUUUGAAAUGCCAAGUUAGACAAGUUACAUAUCCAUGAUAUUGUACUGGUGGGUGGUCCUACUCAUAUGCCCCAGAUUCAGAAGCUUUUGUAGAACGUCAAUGGAAAAGAACAGAAUAAGAGCAUCAACCCUGAUGAUGCUGUCGCUUAUGGUGCAGCUGUCCAGACAGCCAUUUUAUCUGAACAUAAGCCUAAAAAUGUUCAAGAUUUGCUGCUCUUGGAUGUCACUCCUCUUUCCCUUGGUAUUGAAACUUCUGGUGGAGUCGUGAUUGUCCUUAUUAAGUGCAAUACCACCAUUCCUACUGAGGAGGCACAGAGCUUCACCAACUACCCUGAUAACCAGCCUGGUGUGCUCAUUCAGAUAUAUAAAGGUAAGCAUGCCAUAACCAAGGAUAACAACCUGCUUGGCAAGUUUGAACUCACAGGCACAUCUCCUGCACCCCUUGGUCUUCCUCAGAUUCAAGUCACUUUUGAUAUUGAUGACAAUGGCAUCCUCGAUAUCUCUGCCAUAGAUAAGAGUACAGGAAAAAAGAACAAGAUUACCAUCACUAAUGACAGAGAUUGUUCAGGCAAGGAGGACAUUGAGAACCUGGCUUAGGAAGCUUAAAAGUACAAAGCUGAAGACAAAAAGUAGAGGGACAAUAUGUCAUCCAAGAAUUCUCUGGAGUCUUAUGCAUUCAACAUGGAAGUGACUGUUGAAGAUGAGAAACUUCAAGGCAAGAUAACUGAUGAAGACAAAUACAAGAUUUUAACAAAUGUAAUGAAAUCAUUGACUGGCUGUAUAAGAAUCAGACUGCAGAGAAGGAAGAAUUAAACAUCAGCAGAAAGAGCUGGAGAAGGUCUGCAACCCCACCAUCACCAAGCUGUUCCAGAGUGCAGGAGGCAUGCCAGGAGAAAAGCUUGGAGGGUCACCUCUCUGGUGGUGGUACUUCCUCUGGGCCCACUAUUGAAGAGGUUGAUAAUGUCAGUCCAAGUACAGAUAUUGCAUUAUUCUACACAGUAAAAUAUGGAAGGGCCCAAAUUUGUAGCAAAUUACUGGGCAUUCUCAAUACUUGCAUAUAG